rnacentral:rRNA from 1 species
UACAGAGGGCGCGAGCGUUGUCCGGAAUCAUUGGGCGUAAAGGGCGCGUAGGUGGCGGGACAAGCGUGCGGUGAAAGCCUGGGGCUCAACCCCGGGUCGGCCGUGCGAACUGUUUUGCUUGAGCACUGUAGAGGCAGGCGGAAUUCCACGUGUAGCGGUGAAAUGCGUAGAGAUGUGGAGGAACACCAGUGGCGAAGGCGACUCUCUGGUCUGUAACUGACGCUGAGGCGCGAAAGCGUGGGGAGCAAACAGG